CUACGGGCCGCAGCAGUGGGGAAUCUUAGACAAUGGGGGAAACCCUGAUCUAGCCAUGCCGCGUGAGCGAUGAAGGCCUUAGGGUUGUAAAGCUCUUUCAGCUGGGAAGAUAAUGACGGUACCAGCAGAAGAAGCCCCGGCUAACUCCGUGCCAGCAGCCGCGGUAAUACGGAGGGGGCUAGCGUUGUUCGGAAUUACUGGGCGUAAAGCGCGCGUAGGCGGACUAUUAAGUCGGGGGUGAAAUCCCGGGGCUCAACCCCGGAACUGCCUUCGAUACUGGUAGUCUUGAGUUCGAGAGAGGUGAGUGGAAUUCCGAGUGUAGAGGUGAAAUUCGUAGAUAUUCGGAGGAACACCAGUGGCGAAGGCGGCUCACUGGCUCGAUACUGACGCUGAGGUGCGAAAGCGUGGGGAGCAAACAGGAUUAGAUACCCCCGUAGUC
rnacentral:rRNA from 1 species